rnacentral:rRNA from 1 species
UACGUAGGGUGCGAGCGUUAAUCGGAAUUACUGGGCGUAAAGCGUGCGCAGGCGGUUCGUUGUGUCGGCGGUGAAAGCCCCGGGCUCAACCUGGGAAUGGCCGUUGAAACUGGCGAACUGGGAGUGUGGCAGAGGGGGGGUGGAAUUCCGCGGUGUAGCAGUGAAAUGCGUAGAGAUGCGGAGGAACACCGAUGGCGAAGGCAGCCCCCCUGGGCUGACACUGACGCUCAGGCACGAAAGCGUGGGGAGCAAACAGG